rfam:Oryza glaberrima chromosome 2 Oglab02_0033_14, whole genome shotgun sequence.
AAUAGAUGAUGCUGUUGACUUUUUCUCACACGUUUGAUCAUUCGUCUUAUUCAAAAAAAUUUACGUAAUUAUGAUUUAUUUUGUUAUGAGUUGUUUUAUCACUCAUAAUACUUUAAGUGUGAUUUAUAUCUUAUACAUUUGCAUAAAAUUUUUUAAUAAGACGAAUGGUCAAACAUGUGAGAAAAGUCAACAGCGUCAACUAUU